rnacentral:misc_RNA from 1 species
CAACUUGCAGCAAGACUAAACCUAAGCCAACACUCCAAAAAAAUCUACCUGAGGUUUUGCAAAUCAGCUCUGUAGCUAAGGAAUUGCCCAAAAGUACUCCAAUAACUGGGGUUCUGCUAAUCAGCUCUGAACUUAUGGAACUGCCCAAAACUACCUGGGGUUCAGCUAAUCAGCCCUGAACUUAUGAAAUUGCCCAAAACUACACCAACAACUGGGGUUCUGCAAACCAGCUCUGAACUUAUGAUAUUGCCCAAAACUACCUGGGGUUCAGCUAAUCAGCCCUGAACUUAUGAAAUUGCCCAAAACUACACCAACAACUGGGGUUCUGCAAACCAGCUCUGAACUUAUGAUAUGCCCAAAACUGGGGUUUUGUCAACUUCCUCAAAAGAUUCCUCAGAUGAAAUUUCAGAAAGAUUGAAACUUUAUUACAAUACUAGUAAAGAGAGAAGGUAAUAAGAAGA